rnacentral:lncRNA from 1 species
AUGAUUUCAUUCUUUUUAUGGCUGAAUAGUAUUCCAUGGUGUACAUGUACAAAAUUUACUUAAUCUAAUCCAUCAUUGACGGGCAUCUAGGUUGAUUCCAUGUCUUUCUUGUUGUGAAUAGUGCUGUGCUGAAAGGAACAACAUAUGAGUGCAUGUGUCUUUUUGGCAGAAUGAUUUCUUUUCUUUAGGAUAUAUACCCAAUAAUAUGAUAGCUGGGUUGAAUGAUAGUUUUAUUUAUAGUUCUUUGAGAAAUUUCCAAACUUGUUUCCACAGUGGCUGAACUAAUUUACAUACCCACCAACAGUGUAAAAGCACUCCCUUUACUUUGCAUCCUCACCAACAGCUUUUAUUUUUGACUUUUUAAUAAUAGCUAUUCAGACUGGUGCAAGAUGGUAUCCCACUGUGGUUUUGAUUUGGAUUUCCCUAAUGAUUAGUGAUGCUGAGCAUUUUUUCAUAUGUUUAUUGGCUAAAAAGCUGGUAUUUCAUUUCAUUUUUUUUAAAAAGGUUUAUUUUAGUUUCAGGGGUACAUGUGAAGGUUUGUUACAUAGGUGAACUUGUGUCACAGGGGUUUGUUGUACAGCUGACUUCAUCACCCAUGAAAAAGCCCAGUACCCAAUAGUUAUUAUUUGUGCUUCUCUUCUUCCUCCCACCCUCCACCCUCAAGUGACCCCAGUGUCUUUCAUUCCCCAAAAGCUAACAUUUUAAACCAGCCCAAAAUAUAAUAAUUUUAAUCCGAAGUCGCAUGUGAUUUCUGUUAAUGAUAAAACAGAUAACAUUUGAAAAGGAGUCCUUUUGAUAACUCAUGUAUUAAGGACUAAAUAUUUGUACCUGCCCCCACCCCCAAAAUCAUAUGUGAAACCCUAACAACCUAUGUGAAUGUAUUUGGAGAUAGGGUCAUAAGCAGAUGGUAGAGUUUAAAUGAGGUCAUAAGGGUGGGGCCCUAAUCUGAUAGAGCUCUUGCACUUUUCAGAAGAGGAAGAGAUACUGGAACGUGUCUCUGUCUGUGUGCAUUCAGAAAGAAGGCCAUGUGAUACGGUUUGGAUGUUGCCUCCAACCAAAUCUCAUGUCAAAAUGUAAUCUUCAAUAUUGGAGGUGUGGCACGGUGGGAAGAGAUUGGGUCAUGGAGGCAGGUUUCUCAUGAAUGGUUUAGCACCAUCCCCCUUGGUACUGUCUUCACAAUAGUGAGUUCUCAUGAUAUUUGGUCAUUUGAAAGUAUGUAGCACUUCCCCCUUCACUUUCUCUUGCUCCUGCUCUGGCCAUGUGACGUGCCUAUUCCCUCUUCACCUUCUGGCAUGACUGUAAGUUUCCUGUGGCCUCCCUAGAAGCUGAGCAGAUUCCAUCAUCAUGCUUCCUGUACAGUCUGCAGAACCAUGAGCCAAUUAAGCCUCUUUUCUUUAUAAAUUACCCAGUCUGAGGUACUUCUUUAUAGCACUGCCAGAAUGGACUAAUACACUAUGUGAAGACAAAGGGGAUGUCUGCAAGCCAGGACGAGUGCGUCUACCAGCAACUGAGUUCUGCUGGACUUUGAUCUAGGACACCCAGCCUCCAGAAUGGAAUGUGCCAUAUAUGGAGACCUGCAUGGAAAGGAACUGAGGAUGCUCUCUGACUAAAAGCUAGAAGGAACUGAGACCCUCAGUCAACAGUCUACAAGACACUGAAUCUUGCCAGCAGCCAUACAGUGAGCUUGAAAGCAGAUCUAUCCUCAGCUGAACCUUCAGAUGAGACCGCAGCCUAAGCAGACACCUUGGUCGCAGCCAUGUGAGACAACCUGAAACAGAGGGCACAGCUAAGCCUCAGCCAGGAUCAUCACCCUCUGAGGAAACUGUGAGAAAGCAAAUGUCAUUUUAGGCUAUUUAAUUUUGGAGGUAGUUUGUUACACAACAAUAAAUAACUAUUAUAAUUAUCUUGAGGAUUUCCUGGGGAGAAUAAAUGGAAUUGCAUAUAUAGGUCAUCAUAUGCAGAAUACUGGUACCUCAGAGAUGUUCACCCCAGAGAUGUUGUAGGAACCUGUGAAUAUAUUACCUUACAUGGCAAAGUUUUCCUGGAUGGUUUAAGUUUAAGAUGGAAAAGUUUAACUGGAUUAUCCCGUGGGUCCAAUCUAAUAACAAGAGUCCUUAAAAAUGGAGAAUAUUUUUUGGUCAUGAUCAGAGAGACAUGUGAUGAUGGAAGAAGUGUCAGAGAUGCAAUGUGAGCGGACUAAAACUGCUGUUGCUGACUUUAAAGAUGGAGAGAGGGGAACCCGAGUCAAGGAAUGCAAAUGGCCUCUGGAAGCUGGAAAAGGCAAGAAACGGAUUCUCCUUUAGAGCCUCUGGAAAAAAAUGCAGUUAUGCUGACACCUUGAUUUUACCUCAGUGAGACCAAUAAUGGAGUAUGACCUUCGGAGCUGAAUAAAAUUAUACAUACACAUCUUAAUUUCUUGGAAUUUGAUUACUUCUUCUGCUUUGAAAUUAGACCAAGUUUAGCCUGCCUUUGCUAUUUUGGCAUAUCUCCAAUUCUUCGUGAUUUUCUCAUGUUGCUAUUUGUGCAGUAGUGGGCUCAAUGGUGGUAUUCCAAAAACGCAAAGGCCACAUAAGGACAGUAAGAAGGCAGUCAUCUGCAAGCCAGGAAGAAAGGUCUCACCAGAUACCAACCCUGCCAGCAAGUUGAUCUUGGACUUCCAGCCUCCAAAACUGUGAGAAGGCCUUCUACUCACAUGGGCUUCCGUGCACCUGCUUCAGGAGACAGCAACACUUGCGCCCGCACUGCGGCAGGCUCCCAUCACCUGGUGGAUAUGCCGUGCUGAGUCUCAUCACACCUUAGUGAAGGAACACAUGGACCCAUAUGUUAGCGGAUGUGUUUACAUCAUUUUAUACAGAAAGGGGA